rnacentral:misc_RNA from 1 species
GCGGUUCAGUCUAAUCGGACGCUACAUUAUGCGGCAGACGCGAUACCCGUGCAGUAUGGAGCAAGUCGCGGGCAACACUAGUCGCUAGCGCGCCAACGCGCGCACCACGCUCGGAAAUUCGAAAAUGGAAUCGAAUCACAACUGACAUUUUAAAAAAACUUUACAGCCAGUAACUUAGUGAUGUGUUUCAUUCAUUCAAAAAAGUUCCGUUGGGUGAUAAAAGUUUUCAAAUGAACGUAGUGGACACUUGUUUUAUGUAUGAUUUAUUCAAUACAUUGGACAAAUUUAUUUUUGCUCAUGGCAAUUAAAAUGGUGCUGUGUGGUGCAGUGGCGGGCGCGGGCGACAUGAUAGCCAACGUGAGCCGCGUGCGCCGCGCGCCACAGCCUCACUACUCCUCGCACCGCGUCUUGACCGACGAGGAGCUAGAUAUGACAGCGGCGUGGAAGCGCUCGCACUGGCGCGACAUGCAGUCCAUACUCCGACGCGAGGGCAACCAGAAGGAGGGCCGGGACGGCGUGCAGUGCUGCCCCUCCGUGCUCGAGAUGGUCACCAAGAAGGGAGGCCGCACGCCCACCGGCCUCUACGUAGAGCUGUACGAAGACGGGGAGAACCAACAGAGGCUGUUCGAGGUGUCGUGCGCGCCCAACGUGGUGGACAAGCCGUGCCGCUUCGUGGACGCGCGGCUGUACAACGAGUCGCGCUGCAUACAGAAGUACUCGUACUCGUACGCGCUGGUGCGCUACCUGCACUCGGCCGCCACGGAGACGCCGCAGCCGCGCACCGAGGGCCACUUCUCCGUGCCCGGCUCCGGCGGCUGGUCCAUGGACUACGUGCGCGUGCGAGCCGGCUGUGAGUGCCAAAUCAAACCCAAAACCAAUAAACCCGCCCGCAGAAGACACAAGCAGAGGAAGAGAAAUAGGAGGAUCGUCGAGGACGACGAGACCUGACUCCGGACUCAGUGCUAGUGUAAUCGUGACUUUGAACAAAUUUGGGAUCGUCCCAUAGUAUUACGUUACAAAUAUACCUUUUCUGAUGUUUUCUCCUUGGUUCGGAACUGUUUCGUGCAAAACAGCAGCAAAGCUAUGUUUGUUAGUGUCGCGGAUGCUGUGGAUGGUUUCUCGUUACCUAUAUCAAGUGUACACUUGAGUGGUACAAGUGUCGGUCGGUGUAUCAAUGUAUUUAUUUUAUUUUUCGUCUAUAUUACGCUUCUUGUUGUAGUCCGUUAGUUAGUCUCGAUCUUAUGAAAUUAAAGUGCCUUUUAGUGCCUUAGAUAUAAAUAGUUCACUAUAUUCUGGGAAUUGUUGAAAUUUUGAUUCCAAUGCGUUAUCUGUAUGCAAUAAGUAUUAAAUGUUAAGGCUAAUGUCACACGAAUAAACUUUCUGAUUCUAAAUGAGACUUAUUAGCAAUUCCAUGCCAUCACAAAUAGUUAUUAAUAUUACCAUAAUUAUCAUUAGACAAGGUGACAUUAUUAAUAGUGCCGACAAAAACUAGUUUGAAAUGUGAAUAAUCAUAGAAAUACAAAUUCGUGUGACACUCGCUUACCAACUACAUGAUAAUGUAAUAGUUACCGGUUGAUCGAGGUGCAUAGAUAUAAUACGACUUCACUGCGCUGUCGCCACACUUUCAGAUAAUUUUAAGAUAGAAACCAAUGAAUAUUAUGUACUGCAUACUACGGAUUGUAUUUUAGACGAACCUCGUUUAGUUCUCGUAGUCGUAGAGUACAGAGUUCGAAUUUCGGCGUCUUGGCCCUAUCCCAAAUGGAAUCAACUUCCAGCCCAAACAGAUGUGAUGGAAUAUCAGUGUCCUCUGUAAAAUCAUCGGGUUGUCACAAUCCAAAACAAAAGACGAAUUCCUAGUUUAAUGGUGCGUCACCACCUCCGGAUAAGAAGUGUUUAAACCAUGCCAGAUUAUUUCAUUUGUGUGACCCUGUUCCCAUUAUUAAUUGAUUUUACUUUGUUCCAUUUUUACCUAUUUCCUAAUAGACCCGAAAAAAACUCACGGUUUCAAAACGUUUUUGUAACUUCUUCCUUAGCAACAGUAUCCUUAUUUACUUAAGUUUUUUUGGAAUAACCUUCCCUUUACUUACUACUUUCUACUAUGGUAUGUAGUACAUAGUUAUCGUUGUAUAUAACAGUAAAGAGCAGUCUGUGAUCAUUUCGUACAUGUUCAGUUAUCCGCAGUGGGGUCCCGAUAAGUCUCUUGUGAAACAACUCUGCUGUAAUAUUUAGACUUUACUGUUAAGCUGUAGAUAUUCACCAUAGUUUAAACCUUAUCAGUAUCUUCGGUAAACAUCAGAAGAAGAUUACACAAAACAAUUCUAAUUUAUUUCAAUCGAGCAUUCAUUUCUUUAAUUCCUUACAUUACUCACAUCGUGUUCAUCUUGCUAAAAUAAACUAUCUCCUGACAUAGGCAAAACAGUAAAUUAAAAAAUAUUUUGGUUCAAUUCAAUAUCAUCAGUAUCAACUGUUUCUUCAUCUAAAACAAGUUUAUUUGGUUGUUUCACAUGAGGAGCAUCGCCAGUUAAAGUCGUUCCACUGAUUAUAAUGCUCUCUUCCCUUUUAAAAUUAAGAAUAUUUAUUCAAAGUUAACAAUUUAUAAUUUUUUGUUAUUAUUUGUAACAGUACUUACUUCUUAGACAUAAGUGCGUCGAGUCAAAGAUCUGUAUUAUUUUCUAUUUUGUAAUACUUUUAUUGUAUUUAAAAAUGUAGUUAUAUUUUUAAGGAUUAAUUUCAUUCUAUUUAUACUGUUUAAUACGAGGUAUUCCGAUAUACAGUAUGAAUGUUAGUUUGUACGUAGAAAUCGCUUCCAUAAAAUAUAAUUGAUGUAUAUAAAUAACGCAAUAGUAUUGUGGACUGAGAUUAUUUUGUGCAUUUAGAUGUGUAAUAACAGAAUGAGAGAAUAUUUUUAUAAUUAAGAUAACGCUAUCCAUCGACAAUAAAACAUACAUCAUACAAGCAGCGCCAUCUGUUAGUGAGUAGCUGUAUAUAAACAGUUCGUAAUAUCACUGCUAGAUGUCGCUGACUCCACCUGUUAGCAUUACGCAGAACAGUGCCAUGUUAAAUAAUAAUGUGAAUGCCAAUGAAAAUCAAUUUUAUUGGUCUACUAAGAGUAUAGAAAAGUUUGUUAUAUUCAUAUAAUUAUAGUUCUAUUGCCCGUUGACAAAAUAUGUACUUACCAUCGAAAUGCCUUCUUCUCGAAAUGUAAAGUUUCAAAUUAUAUUACCCAAGUGCAGUGUGUCAUAUGGUUGGUAUAGGUACUGUAAAGUAUUUAAUUUUAACGAAAAUCACUACAAACUACUUUAACAAUGUUAUUUUCAUCAUCACAACAGCUAUACGUUAUUUUAUUGUUGACAUCAAAAACAAAACUUUAAAUAAAAUAAAAACCUGAAAUAGCAGAAA